GACGAACCGUGCGAACGUUAUUCGGAAUCACUGGGCUUAAAGCGCGUGUAGGCGGAUGAGCACGUCUGUCGCUGAAAUCCCCCGGCUCAACCGGGGAACGGGCGGAGAUACGGCUUGUCUGGAGGGGCGUAGGGGGACCUGGAACUUCCGGUGGAGCGGUGAAAUGCGUUGAGAUCGGAAGGAACGCCCGUGGCGAAAGCGAGGUCCUGGACGCCUACUGACGCUGAGACGCGAAAGCCAGGGGAGCGAACGGGAUUAGAUACCCCCGUAGUCC
rnacentral:rRNA from 1 species